rnacentral:rRNA from 1 species
UACGUAGGGUGCGAGCGUUGUCCGGAAUUAUUGGGCGUAAAGGGCUCGUAGGCGGUUUGUCGCGUCGGGAGUGAAAACUCGGGGCUUAACCCCGGGCCUGCAGUGGGUACGGGCAGACUAGAGUGCGGUAGGGGAGACUGGAAUUCCUGGUGUAGCGGUGGAAAUGACGCAGAUAUCAGGAGGAACACCGGUGGCGAAGGCGGGUCUCCUGGGCCGUAACUGACG